AUUGACUUGAUUAACUUAUCCUAAUUAGGCAUCUGAUGAGUCCAUCAUGGGUUAGAAAUCCAGUUCUGGGGGACCAGCAUGUUUCUGGUUUUCCUUCCACCUGUGCACUUAAUCACUUAAUCGAAAUCACCAAUUGCUUAAUUAGAUAACAAAGUUUUUCCCUUGCUCUUAAAAAACUGGAGAUUUAAAGAGAGCUGCUGAACAGCAGCCCUUGAUAACUGAAGACAGGCUCCCUGGUCCUAUUUCAUUCUUGUUUUCCAAAUCUAAUUUUCAUUUUCAAACUCUAAAAUAUUCUAAAAUUAGAUUAUAAAAACACAGGUGAUGUGUAUUAAACAUAGAGGUGUUUCCAGAUCUUUGCAAUACUCACAAGGUAGAACCACCAAGAUGGGACACACUUUCACCACACAAGAGUCCAGCUGGAGUCCAACUCAGAUAGCCCAGGUGGGGAAGCAAAGAAUACUUCACCAACUGAACUGAGGGGUCACACCCAACAGACUGGACUGCAGAUGCUUAAAGGCUUCACAGAUGAUGAACAGCACGGAGUGAGAUUCUGCAGUGUCAAAGGUUAAAUUUACAGUGGAAAAUAAGUAAACGGCACAGAUUUACUUAAUGCUUUCAGUCAAGCCAUGAUGCUGCUGGGGCAGAACAUCUAGGGUUCAAUUGCUGUUCCUGCUCACAAUGGGCAGCAGUGGACUCCUUGUGUCACUCCACUGCCUUCCUGCCCAGUGACCAGUGAUGCUCCAGGGCAAGUCACCGUCUUCUGUAAUAUAGAACAGUGCAACUGC